CAGGUAGGUUAAAGCUGUAAUUGACCAGGGCCUUUUCUUGAAGAUCUUGAUGGAGGUCGAUUGUUGUCUGCAACUGAUGAUGAUGUCGAAGAAGGUGGUGGUCGUUGUUGUUGCUGUUGUUGUUGUUGUUGUUGUUGUUGCUGCUGUUGUUGUUCUUCAGAUCUCCCCACCUCCUAAUACAUCAAAUUACAGCACAAUGAGACUAUCCAUAUCUAUUAUUACUCCAAUUGCUAAGGGAGAAACUGGUAAAUCUUCGCAAUUAUGUUCCACCAUUCUGUUACGUUAUACCGCAGGUUAACAGAUAAAAAUUUGUUGCGUUGAGUGUACCUUUGAUGUAGAAGAAGAGGAAGUGUGAUAUGAGUAGUUCACUCUAGUCCUUGCCUGGCCGCGAUGUAGAUUUUGUACGUUCUCAAACUGUUGUAGCCGCGCAGCAAAAUUGAUUCCUUGGUGAGAACUGUUGAUAUUAUCCUCCUCUAAGUCACCGUCCUCGUUUUGAUGCUUAUACUG
rnacentral:lncRNA from 1 species